rnacentral:rRNA from 1 species
CCUACGGGAGGCAGCAGUGAGGAAUAUUGGUCAAUGGACGAAAGUCUGAACCAGCCAUGCCGCGUGCAGGAAGACGGCUCUAUGAGUUGUAAACUGCUUUUGUACAAGGGUAAACCUGAAUACGUGUAUUCAGCUGAAAGUACUGUACGAAUAAGGAUCGGCUAACUCCGUGCCAGCAGCCGCGGUAAGACGGAGGAUCCAAGCGUUAUCCGGAUUUAUUGGGUUUAAAGGGUGCGUAGGCGGAUUGAUAAGUUAGUUGUGAAAUGUCCGGGCUCAACUCGGGAACUGCCUCUAAUACUGUUGAGCUAGAGAGUGGAUGCGGUAGGCAGAAUGUAUGGUGUAGCGGUGAAAUGCUUAGAGAUCAUAAAGAACACCGAUUGCGAAGGCAGCUUACCAAACUAUAUCUGACGUUGAGGCACGAAAGCGUGGGGAGCAAACAGGAUUAGAUACCCCAGUAGUC